rnacentral:rRNA from 1 species
AUUUGGAGGUUGCUCCCUUGAGGAGUGGCUUCCGGAGCUAACGCGUUAAGUCGACCGCCUGGGGAGUACGGCCGCAAGGUUAAAACUCAAUUGAAUUGAGGGGGGCCCGCACAAGCGGUGGAGCAUGUGGUUUAAUUCGAUGCAACGCGAAGAACCUUACCUACUCUUGACAUCCAGAGAACUUAGCAGAGAUGGUUUGGUGCUUUCGGGAACUCUGAGACAGGUGCUGCAUGGCUGUCGUCAGCUCGUGUUGUGAAAUGUUGGGUUAAGUCCCGCAACGAGCGCAACCCUUAUCCUUUGUUGCCAGCGGUUAGGCCGGGAACUCAAAGGAGACUGCCAGUGAUAAACUGGAGGAAGGUGGGGAUGACGUCAAGUCAUCAUGGCCCUUACGAGUAGGGCUACACACGUGCUACAAUGGCGCAUACAAAGAGAAGCGACCUCGCGAGAGCAAGCGGACCUCAUAAAGUGCGUCGUAGUCCGGAUUGGAGUCUGCAACUCGACUCCAUGAAGUCGGAAUCGCUAGUAAUCGUAGAUCAGAAUGCUACGGUGAAUACGUUCCCGGGCCUUGUACACACCGCCCGUCACACC